UGGGGAAUUUUGGACAAUGGGCGAAAGCCUGAUCCAGCAAUGCCGCGUGUGUGAAGAAGGCCUUCGGGUUGUAAAGCACUUUUGUCCGGAAAGAAAUCCUUGGCUCUAAUACAGUCGGGGGAUGACGGUACCGGAAGAAUAAGCACCGGCUAACUACGUGCCAGCAGCCGCGGUAAUACGUAGGGUGCAAGCGUUAAUCGGAAUUACUGGGCGUAAAGCGUGCGCAGGCGGUUUGCUAAGACCGAUGUGAAAUCCCCGGGCUCAACCUGGGAACUGCAUUGGUGACUGGCAGGCUAGAGUAUGGCAGGAGGGGGGUAGAAUUCCACGUGUAGCAGUGAAAUGCGUAGAGAUGUGGAGGAAUACCGAUGGCGAAGACAGCCCCCUGGGCCAAUACUGACGCUCAUGCACGAAAGCGUGGGGAGCAAACAGGAUUCAGAUACCCUGGUAGUCCACGCCCUAAACGAUGUCAACUAGUUGUUGGGGAUUCAUUUCCUUAGUAACGUAGCUAACGCGUGAAGUUGACCGCCUGGGGAGUACGGUCGCAAGAUUAAAACUCAAAUGAAUUGAC
rnacentral:rRNA from 1 species